CUGAUACUAGGCGUCGUUAUGGCAACCGACGAGCCGCCCCCUCUCGGCUUUCCAGGAUGGAUAAAUCAUUCCACAUUUCUCCUAAGAAGACUUGGGAGCAUUUAGCGCGGUGCUUUACACAUUUGUUGCUGUUCAUUCACUUCAGUCUUGUCCGACUCUUCAUGAUCUCAUGGAUUUUCUUGGCAAAGAUCUUGGAGUGGUUUGUCACAUUCUCCAGUGCAUUUAACAGAUGAGGAACUGAGGUACUUCCUCCCCCCAGCCUCACCUUUGCAACGUUUGCCAUCUCCACUAUAGCCAGACUUGCAGAUGCACUUAUAGGAACGGGGAGUGUUCUGGCAAAUGGCAUCGAUGUGGCAGUUGUCAGUCCCUUCCACACAUUCAUCCACAUCUGUUAGGAGAGAGGAGUUGAAGGUUUGAGGUGGAGCAGUGGAUGGAAUGAUGCCUUUGGAGUCCAGAAAACUCAUCUUUCUGAAUUCAGAUCUGGCCUAUUCUUACUAGCUGUGUGACCCUGGACAAAUCACUUAACCCUGUUUGCCUCAGUUACUCAUUGUCAAGUGAACUGGAGAAGGAAAUGGAAAACCACUUCAAGAAAACUACAAAAGAGAUCAAUCAGGAAGAAAACAACUGGACAACAACAAAACAAAUGCUUUAGGCACCUUGCUAGGAACUACAAGUAAAAAUUCAAAAAAAAAUUAA